AUGUUGGUGUCCAUUGGAUGGCAUAAGCAGGACGCAGUAGCAACAGCUAAUAGCUCUGGAAAUCUCUGGAAUUGCUGUCAGGAAGAGCACAAACAACGUCAACAGCUCCAGCAUCAUCAGGCACAGAAGGACAGACCCAGAAGAACCGCUCAGAGCUGCCAUGCCCCACACAUCACACACAUCCAUCUGUUCUCCUUGUGCCCCAGAGCAAAUCACUCAGCAUGGCAGGUAAAGCCUCUCUGCAACCUGCACCUGGAGUUUGCGCCUGUGCCAUGGGAGCCUCUGCGCAUGAACCAGGAUUCCUCCUUCCCUUCAUUAACUACACAGGUGAAGACUUCCCAUUCAACCUUACUUACAACCAACAAUCCAAACUUCUUCCCAGCCAUGUUUGUGCAGCUAUGCGCCUCUGUCACGUGGACCAGCUUCAUGAACAUGUUUCCUAAUUAAACCUGAAUGGUACAUAAGAAAAUGUCUUCUAUAACUAAUUAUUUCAUGCACAAUCUGAAAACUAGUUAAGAUCGUGUUUAUGGUGUUAUUAGAUGUGUGUUCCUUUUCCAGCGUAGCUGAGAAAGGAAGCAUUUGUCUGAACUAAAGUCAGAUAGGGCUGUCCGCAGCCAUCAGACACACUGUGGCUUUGUCUCUGGCGUCAAAGGAGAUUUAAGGCAAUUCUCUGUCUUUGACGCUGCCUGGCAACAUUGGGAAGGCUUUCUUUCCUAAUCUGUGAAACAGUAAGAAAGCCAUUAAAUGGUGCAGAGAAGGAAGGAGGGCACAGACAUGACGUCUGUCUGUGCUGGCAGGGAGACUCUGCCUUGACGCUGGGAGGGAGACCACCAAGAUGCGUCCUUGCCACAGGGGAGGCACAGCCAAAGGUUCAACCCACAUGUUUGUACCGAGCAGUGCUUUUGACACUUGCUUCCCACAAGAUUUUCCUUCUCAUUAGUGCUUGGUUCAUCAUUUUGUGUUACUAUCAUACAUCUUCAAUGUGAAACUAAAAAAAAAAAUAAAAAUCUUCUGCAGAUCUAUUUAAUGAGACA
rnacentral:lncRNA from 1 species